rnacentral:rRNA from 1 species
UACGUAGGGGGCAAGCGUUGUUCGGAAUUACUGGGCGUAAAGGGCGCGUAGGCGGCACGGCAAGUCAGGAGUGAAAGCCCUGGGCUCAACCCGGGAACUGCUUUUGAAACUGCCGAGCUAGAGUGCGGAAGGGGCAACUGGAAUUCCCAGUGUAGCGGUGAAAUGCGCAGAUAUCAGGAGGAACACCUAUUAGCGAAGGCAGCUCGCUGGGACGUAACUGACGCUGAGACGCGAAAGCGUGGGGAGCAAACAGG